GAUCAACUGGCCUAGUGGUAAGGCGUCCGUCUUACACGUUUAUUCGCGCACGGAAGAUCGUAGGUUCGAAUCCUGCGUUGAUCA